UGGGAGUUACACACUCCACCGCAAAUGAAACAAAUGUUGGGGAGGCUAACAAAGUGGGGAAAAACGUAAAGUGAAUUUCAAAGGGCUCACAGUGGAGCACAAUCUGAGAUCCACAGAAAAGUGGAGAGGGAUAAGACAGGAAUUAGGUCAUCUCAUCCAGACCCCAGGAAAUAUGUUUAGAUCAAAGCCACUCUGUUAGAAUAAACAAAACAGGACUCACUGGGCCCUACCAAUAUUUUCAUCUCAGUACUAAAAGCUGCUAAUCUAACCAGCUCUAUUUGAUGAAAGGGGGUAAAAAUUACAACUGUAAAAAUGACUGAGUUAAAAAAGUCCUCUCAACUGUAAUGGGAUGAUAAAGAUUUAGACUUGAGCUAAAGAGUAACAAGAUCCAGGCCCAAAUCAACACAAACUUCCUGGAAUUUUAGCACUGAGUAAAUUAUCUAAUCCUAACCCAUUGUCCCCUUACUGCCACCCCCCACCCAUGCAACUGAGUAUACCAGAUGAUUUACAUAAAAAAAAAAAAUUGUUAAAUUUUAACUGCAGUCAGAACACUGCAGGAGGUUGGCUUUGGGGUUCACUUAUUCUACAUUCCUUAAGAAUCUGUCUGUUUUCUGUUUGCUCACAACCGUCACCUGCCCCCUCCACCCGCAAAGGCAGUUGUUGGGGUAGCUGCUGGCCUUACUGUGUGGAUUCUCAUUUAAGCCCCGUCUUAAAAUAUGGUCUCUUUCUCCACUGUCAAGGGAGAUUGACAGAGACUGGGAGAUGAUGUCACAGGAGCCUGGCUCUGGAUCCACACACUUCGGCAGUGGCUGAUAUUUUAGCAGCUAAGUCCAAGUCCUGUGUAAGGCUUUCUUUCACCACAGAGUCGAUGGCCUUAAACCAACUACCAGGGAACAUUCAAUAGAUAGAAACACCCAGAAAAGGGACAGGAAAUCCCAGAGAAGGAAAAUUCACCCAGGCUAAAUCCAGGGUUAUAGUUCCUUGCUGAGUCUGGUUUCCUCUUAACUGUUUAAACAUAUGAUUUGGCUUCUCCCGUGUUUCUGCGUCCAUCUGAUCUCAAGUUGAACAAAGACUCAUGGACUUCAUGUCAGCUUGGCUCUGGCCCUCUGGGAAGCCAGGACGACAAAGUGGGGAAUGUGAGGGGCCUUUGUAAACACCACCGGGAACAGGCCAUCUUCUGUGUGGGGCCCUUCGUGGCUGACCUCACAGAGGGCAAUUCCAGGAUCAGAGUUUUCCUUAUGUUUCAUGGAUGGCUUUGAAGACAUACAAGUUACAAAGUUGGAAGCUGCACAGAAGUCACUCUUUCUUUGUUAGACCCAGAGCAGGACCUCAUCCAGACUCUUUCUGAGCACAGCUAAACCCUGAUACAGGCCACUGGUACCCCGACACCGAGAAUCCAGGAGUCACAUGUUUUAAUCACAUCUGCAUUCAGUAUGAGACCCGGUCACCUGUCACCCUUAAUGAACUUGUAGGCAUGGCAGCCCCCACUCUCGAUGCAAGGGGUAGGAAGUGGGAUACCUUCCUACUUAACCUGUAAAUUCCUUCUGUAUCCUGAAUUAGGAACCGUUCCACGUGUCCCAAGCUACUUGUGAUUCACAACAAUCCAUUUGACAGAUGCCAAAACUGAGGUCUGGAGAGCAGAGGAGCAACACUUAGAAAUCAGGAAAUCUCUAGCUGUCACCAGCUUUGGGCGUAUGGGAGUCAUUGUCUGACUGUUGGUGCAGUGUUCCCAUCUGUGCUGAAGAGGUUAGACCUCCAACGAUUCCCAGCAGCUUCUUUUAGAUUCUGGCCACUUUCACAAUCUUCCGAUUAUUGGAGCAUCUCCUGCAUGCCACCACUUAUUUAAUAAUUUAACUGAAGUGAACUGUUUCUAAAGUUUAAGUUUAUUUAUUCUAGAAAUAAUGGAAAAAAAACACUAAAUUCAGUUCUCUCCAACAGUCUUCUUAUCAUGUGCAAGAGAAAUCCUUACAGUAUGUCUCACUUGGGUGACAUGCCCCAAAUCAAAACAGGAUGAACAUAUUGGGCUGUUUCACUCAGCUACAUCCUUUCUUCAUUCUCUUCUGACCAGCUGCCUCUUUCAUUACCCAUGUGUGAGGUCUGUGGGUCUUAAAGAGUUUUAUUGAAGCCCUCUCCCUACCUCCUUACCUGUCAACACACACCUUUGAACUGGCCUGGAGUUUUUCAGACUGGAUUGUGACUCAUUAAUGCAUUAUUAGGUCAGCAUAGUAGACCAUAGCCAGUAUUAUGCUUUAGUGUAAUAGGAUAGACUAAGCCAGAGUGUAUCACAGGUAGUAAAGGGCCUUCCCAUCAUGCACAGGUGACCUUCCCUGCCCUGUGACUUGGACCAAGAAACUUGCUCCACCCAGAAAAGUAAGGUAGAUGCAAUGUGCACCAGUUCCAAGGCUGGGUCUCCAGGUGCCUGUGCAUUUCUACCUGUGCCCUCUCGCCUCUACUGCCAAUGUGAGAAGCAUCUGACAGCUCAGGAAAAGAAUGACAGCUCCAUGGAGAAGAGCUGUCCUCAGCCAAGCCCAGCCUGGGUCUCCAGAGAUGAAAGAAGCCUUAGGGAAAUGGGCAAGUGAUCCAUUGUCUGUACUCCCAUCUGCCACGAAAAGCCCUCUGCUCUGAGUCCUUCAUGCCCAAGUGCAGGGCAAAUGGAAAUAGCACAGAGCCACAUGAAUGGCGAGUUCCUGCACUAAUUCCAGUACCUUCCUUCGUGGGCAAGGCAUGCUUUACACAUGUGCCAGUCAUUAUCUAUCCUACAAAGAUUUUCUUUCUGUUUUGUGAAUAAAUUGUUGUCUCUUUUCCAUAGUGGAAAUUAUCCACCCACCUAGAAGAGAGGGUUAAGCCCUUCUCU